AUUGAACGCUGGCGGCAUGCCUUACACAUGCAAGUCGAACGGUAACGCGGGGCAACCUGGCGACGAGUGGCGAACGGGUGAGUAAUACAUCGGAACGUGCCCAGUAGUGGGGGAUAGCCCGGCGAAAGCCGGAUUAAUACCGCAUACGACCUACGGGUGAAAGCGGGGGAUCGCAAGACCUCGCGCUAUUGGAGCGGCCGAUGUCAGAUUAGCUAGUUGGUGGGGUAAAAGCCUACCAAGGCGACGAUCUGUAGCUGGUCUGAGAGGACGACCAGCCACACUGGGACUGAGACACGGCCCAGACUCCUACGGGAGGCAGCAGUGGGGAAUUUUGGUCAAUGGAGGGAACUCUGAACCAGCCAUCCCGCGUGCAGGAUGAAGGGGCUCUGCCCUGUAAACUGCUUUGAUGGGACGAAAAGCCUCACUUGUGAGGACUGACGGUACCAUUAGAAUAAGCACCGGCUAACUCCGUGCCAGCAGCCGCGGUAA
rnacentral:rRNA from 1 species